UACGGAGGGUGCAAGCGUUGUCCGGAAUCACUGGGCGUAAAGGGCGCGUAGGCGGCUCGGUAAGUAGGGGGUGAAAUCCUGCGGCUUAACCGCAGGGCUGCCUUCUAAACUGUCGAGCUUGAGCACGGUAGAGGCAGAUGGAAUUCCCGGUGUAGCGGUGGAAUGCGUAGAGAUCGGGAAGAACAUCAGUGGCGAAGGCGGUCUGCUGGGCCGUUGCUGACGCUGAGGCACGAAGGCCAGGGGAGCAAACGGG
rnacentral:rRNA from 1 species